GGGGUUGACCGGUAUCGACAGGGAAGUGAUCUGGUUAGUAAGCAUGUCGGAGCAAGGUUGCUCACUCCGUUAAAAAUGGUAAUCGAACAAUAAUUGGCGAGUCUAACUACGCCUUGGCUGCUUAAUUUUAGAAAUUAAGUGCCUUGAAGCACCUUGCUUGAUUCCUGGUACACAGCAAGACGCUUUCAAAAACUUCAGGAUAGACCAUCAGAGUUUCUUGGCUGGUGAUCGAAACUUAAAAGGAUAGGAGAGGCAUACGUCGUCUUUAUACUGACGCCCGACCGAAAUCCCUGAAUAAAGACUAAACAUGUAGAAGGCUUUCAAGAGCUUUGUCUGGACAGGAGUUCGAUUCUCCUCAGCUCCACUC
rnacentral:tmRNA from 1 species